UAUCUUGCAGCUAGGUUGGAGUAUAGAUGUCAUGCCCCUCUGGCUUGGUAGGAGAAUAUUCCCGCGUUGCGUGCUUUUCAAUUGGUGAGUGGAAAUAGGAAGAUGUCUUCUACCAUUUUGGUGGUGUAUAGACGAAAUCAUCAUUGUCAUCAUCUUCAACAUCACUCGAAUGCUCUUUAUGUCCAUCUAUAAUCAUUAACAACCGUGUUGUGGGUUUAUGAGAUUGGAUAGGCGCACUCGUGCCUGCAUCGCCUUGAUCUUCAAAGUACAAGUCCCCUCGUUAGUGUGGUUCCAUUGGUUUCUUGUAUGAAA
rnacentral:lncRNA from 1 species